rnacentral:rRNA from 1 species
GACAACGCUGGCGGCGUGCCUAACACAUGCAAGUCGAACGAAGCAUAGCAAUAUGCUUAGUGGCGGACGGGUGAGUAACGCGUGAACAAUCUGCCCUGUACAAAGGAAUAGCCUCGGGAAACCGGGAUUAAAACCGUAUGACACUUUAGUAUCGCAUGAUAAGAAAGUCAAAUCGAAUAGAGGUAUGGGAUGAGUUCGCGUCUGAUUAGCUGGUUGGCGGGGUAACGGCCCACCAAGGCGACGAUCAGUAGCCGGCCUGAGAGGGUGAACGGCCACACUGGAACUGAGACACGGUCCAGACUCCUACGGGAGGCAGCAGUGGGGAAUAUUGCACAAUGGAGGGAACUCUGAUGCAGCGACGCCGCGUGAGUGAAGAAGGUCUUCGGAUCGUAAAACUCUGUCCUUGGUGAAGAAAAGGACGGUAGCCAAGGAGGAAGCCCCGGCUAACUACGUG